rnacentral:rRNA from 1 species
UCGAACGUGAAAGCACUUCGGUGUGAGUAGAGUGGCGGACGGGUGAGUAACGCGUGGGAAUCUGCCCAGUAGUGGGGGACAACUACCGGAAACGGUAGCUAAUACCGCAUACGCCCUAUGGGGGAAAGGCUUCGGCCGCUAUUGGAUGAGCCCGCGUCAGAUUAGCUAGUUGGUAGGGUAAAGGCCUACCAAGGCAACGAUCUGUAGCUGGUCUGAGAGGACGAACAGCCACACUGGGACUGAGACACGGCCCAGACUCCUACGGGAGGCAGCAGUGGGGAAUAUUGGACAAUGGGCGAAAGCCUGAUCCAGCAAUGCCGCGUGUGUGAAGAAGGCCUGCGGGUUGUAAAGCACUUUCAGUUGGGAAGAUGAUGACGUUACCAACAGAAGAAGCACCGGCUAAAUCCGUGCCAGCAGCCGCGGUAAUACGGAUGGUGCGAGCGUUAAUCGGAAUUACUGGGCGUAAAGCGCGCGUAGGCGGCUAAGUCAGUCAGAAGUGAAAGCCCCGGGCUCAACCUGGGAAUUGCUUUUGAUACUGCUUGGCUAGAGUUUGGUAGAGGAUAGUGGAAUUCCAGGUGUAGCGGUGAAAUGCGUAGAUAUCUGGAGGAACAUCAGUGGCGAAGGCGACUGUCUGGACCAAAACUGACGCUGAGGUGCGAAAGCGUGGGUAGCAAACAGGAUUAGAUACCCUGGUAGUCCACGCCGUAAACGAUGUCAACUAGCCGUCGGGUCUAUUUACAGACUUGGUGGCGCAGCUAACGCGAUAAGUUGA